GAUGCAGCCAGGGAUACUGUGAUGUUUUUCAAUAGGUGCUCAGUUUUGUUGCAUCUUUAGAAAACAGACAAGGUUUAAGUAGUUGGCUGGUUAAAUGGGCCCCAAGUUGCACCAGGGGAGGCUCAGAUUGGAUAUUAGAAGAAAAUUCUUCACUGAAAGCACAGUUAGGCAUAGAAAGGGCUGUCCUAUUGAGUCACACUGAAGAUUCUCCUGAAGGUGAAGGCCUGCCCAUAAGAAAGGCUGCUUUGUGUGCACUUGUCAUUUUUGAAGCUUUAUGAAACUGCUUAGGAGGAAGACUGGUACAAAGCUUUUGUGCAUAAUGCAUGGCACUUGGACAAGCCAGGCUUUAGUGCUUAUUUAGAGACCAUACACUUCAGUAGAUGGAUUUGGAAGUGAAUCCCAGUCCUCACUUUUAAAUCCCAGCUCCCAGUGCUGUGUCCCUGAUGGAUGGGAGAGCAUGGAGACCUUGACCUUGGAGCAGCAUUUCUGGAUCAGCUGUCACCAAGAGCUAGGUGCUCACAGUGCUGGAUGCCCAGGAACACCAAGCUUGGCCAGCACAUCCCUCUCUUCCCUAAUGGGGGCUCCAUGUGCUUGGGAAGGAGGAUGAGGAUGGCACAUGGCCACGUGUGCAGCAGCUCUCACAGCUUUGUCUCUUCCAAAGAGACCUCCAGGUGAUCUGGGGAAAAAAGAAAAUGAAGAAAUGGCUUGGACAAAUGCUUCAUGCUUUUGGUGCCACGAGGGACAUGGGAAGAGUUCUGAGGCUGUUCUAGACCAUCUCAGAGCAGGCAGGAUGCAGGAAUAUGACCCUGGCAGAUGCUCUACAGGGCAGAAUUUUUAACCCAGAUGGAGCCCCCUCACCCACUGUUUGGCUGUGGUAUCUCAUGGAGUGUGUCUGAUGUGUGGGACACGUGAGUUCAUCUACUUCUGUCACAGGGAGUGAGCUGGGACCCAACCAGAAAGAGCUCAGGUUGAUUUUUUGGCAUGUUUGGAGUAGUUGUUGACCUGAUGGAUCUACUGACCAUUAUACAAGCCAGUCUUACAAGCAGCUGUGCAAGCCUGCAAGCCCCGAUUCGUUCUGCAGCAGUGGGGGCAGAAGCCAUGGUGCCGUUUGGUCUGGCAGGUUUGGUGGUUUGGCAGCAGCAAAUGCCCGGGCUCCAGGAAGGAGUCUGCAGUGGAAGGCUCAGGAAGUGAUUGGGGGAAUUUUUACUGCGUGUGACCCUUUUUGUUCAAAUGUUUGAUGGUUACUGGAAGCUCUGUUUACCCCAUAAAGAGAAAGUGUUGAUUAUGCAGGAAAAUAAAGAACUGUCUGCUGGAUGGUGGGGCUGUGUGGGCAGAGCCAGACAGUUCCUAUUACCAGACCAAGGCAGGAUCAGAUGCCUUAAGAUUUUGCUGAAGAGGAUUUAAGAAAUGGUUAAUGAGACAAAGAGAAAAUAAUGCUGACAAGGCAUUCACUUGGUGGUGGAAUGAACCCAGAAGCCCUGCAGGAUGGGUCUUUGCUUUUCUCCUUAUUUGUAGAUCCCAGAUGUUAAUCAUUUUCACCAGUGUUUUCUGGGCUGGCAUGCGAAGCUCAUGGAGGAGAUAUUAAUUCUUGCAACAUUUGUGUGUAAUGUAAGGGAUGAGUUCAAGAUAAGGCAGAGGAGAAAACAGCAGGAAAGGAAGGCUGGCUUGUUAGCAGCUGCUCUGCAAGGCAGGAAUUUCACGGGACAAAAGGGUAAUAAUGGAAAUAAGGGAAAUGGAAAUUUAAAUUGGAGAAGUCCAAAGGAUUACUGCAAUAAAACCAAGACACUGGAAAGAGAAUGUCCUGUGAUCCUGAGGCAGGAGCAAUGAGAGCAACAAAGCGAAAAUCAAAUCAAUCGGGACCCGAAUGAAAGCAAAGAACAAUGAUCAGAGCAGACCCCCAAGCCCUGGCAGUGGAAGGAGAUAGAAAAGCAAUCACCUUGGGGGGGCUUUGGUGAACCAAUUACAGAUUAAAAAAUUGGAGAUGAAAUUUAAGGCAUGUUUGAUAGAUACCAGCACAGUUUAUGUGAUAUUAACAACCCCCCAGGAAGGAUCAACAAUUAAGGGUAAAGUAAAUGUUGUAUGAAUAGAAGGUAAAGCUACCUUUGUACCCAGGGCAUGAUGGCACAGAUACAUCCACAGUCUAAUAAUCAUUCUUUUUCUGCUGUUGGAAUCAGCACCAGCAAACUUGGUGGGGAGGUAUUUGUGACACAAUUUUGGGCACAGUUGCAGUGCUCACCACAAGGAAUUUGUGUGUUCAUAUUGUGGGUAAUGUGCCAAAACAUGAUGGUUAUGUGACUGAAGGGGGAAAGAAAUACCCCAGGAACUCAGAGGUGUCAUGUGGGUUAUUAGAGACAGCUAAUCCAGUACAGCUCAAAAUGCAGGGAGGCAAACCUCCCUCUUUAAAAUAGAACCUGUUAUCUCUGGAAGCAAGAGAAGGUAUAAGACAAAUAAUUGAGGAUUUUCUCCCUUGUGAGUCUCCCUGUCAUACUCCUGUCUUGCUGAUUAAAGAAACCUAAAUUAAGCUUAGAUGGAAGAUCAGUUUAUAAAUUUGUCCAGGAUUCUAGUUCCUGAUACUUCAACAGCUAUAAACAUGAUACUGACUAAUGCAAAAUAUUUUGCAGUAAUUGAUUUGUGCUCAGCAUAAUAGUGCAUCCAGUUUAAUUUUGUCAACAUCUGUGAAUGAAAACAGUAAAUGUGGACUGGAUUUCCUCAAGGGUUUGCAGGAUUGUCAACUUAAUUUCUGAAAAUCCUAGGCAGAUUUAGAGGAGAGUUAACCAAUAACUUUGUAUUAAUACAGUGUGUGGAUGAUGUGCU